CUCCCUGGUCAACAGCAUUGCCCAUCAGUCCAUCUCUUCCCUCCUGAGUGCUUGCUACCGUUGCCCCUCAAGAAGACCCCGGGCAUCUGCCCCCUUGCUUGAUCUCCAUGGGCACCACCAAGUGUUCCGCGCGUCACUUAAGUUCCCAGUCCUCGAGGGUGCCUCAGGAGGCAGAGAGAAAGCAGCCGGACUGGGCCCUAGGGGCCAGGGAUCCUGGGUAACGCAGAUCCUUGGGUUUCAACAAAGGCCUCUGCGCAGGCGCUGCAACUACAACUGUGUGCAUCUUGGGGAGGAUGGAGUGUGUGUGUGUGUGUGUGUGUGUGUGUGUGUGCGCGCGCGCGCGCGCGAGCGUGUGAAACUCGAAACAUCUAUUUAUCGUCCAGGUGGCACCUGCAAGCAAAGGCGUGGCUUCUCAGAAAGCUCCAUUAAGAAAUCCGAGCUGGUGAAUUAAAAAGUUAGCUUCCUCUGCCGGCGCUAUCUUCUGAGCACAGAUUUGCCAAUGCUGAGGCAGAGCCUCAAACCCUAGGCCACUGUGGGAAAUUAGGGGGACUGGGCGGCUGGGGUGCAGGCUGUAGAGUAGGGGAGCAUUGCCGGCUCUGUUUUAUGUCACUAUCCCCAGUCCUGACCUCAGGACGUCUGGGCUGCCCCUGUAAUGUAAAUCAGCUCCGCUCAGUCCCUGGCUUCUAAUCCUCUUAGGGUCACAUGGCCAUUUUAGAGUGUGGUGUGGAUCUUCUUAAAAUGUGAGGUAUUCAACAUAUUUGAAAACCAGCCUGGGAUUUGAGUCCUGGGACUCAGAUUGAGCGAAUUUUGCUAGUUAUUGUGGCUGGUGACUGCGAGCAUAUAGACUGUACUUUGUCCUUCCCUUCCUGUGUGCAGACUCUCCCUGUCUACAUCCCUACCUGCAGGGGGCUAAAGGUGACCAGCUCAGCCUUUGCUUGUAUUCUUCAACAAUGAUCCAUUCCCUGCCAACUCGGGGUUCCUACGGUUGCUGUUGGAAUACAUGUUUCUUUCCACAGUCCAAAUGCUGGGCACCAUUAGAACUGAGACCAAUAUGUGGGUGCUUCUAAAAGCUUUCACAAACCAAAUGCACGCAAUUCCACCAUAACUCCCAGCUUCUCCAAUCCACUACCGCCCAGGUGAAGAGGUAAACAGCACGUGAGUGGAUAACAACUCUGGGCUAACGGAAGAGACUCUCUCCCCGUCUCAGAGCCAGGCUGGAGAUGAUCGUAUAUUCCCCAAAUGGACAUAAAUUUCAAUGGCGUGUGCUGCACAACUGCCUUCUCAUUGAGUGCGCACAUGCUGGAAAACGGGAUGGUGCUUUGUCCUUUACAGUAAUGCUUUGGGAAUGACUAUGUACCGCAAGCCGCAGAACUCCUAAGUGCUAGCACAGGGUUUCCCAGGAGCCUUUACCAGGUCACGUGGCCGGAAGUGCUGCUGAGACUUGCUUCAGAGCAGAAAGACCUGUGUCACUUGGGCCCUUCCCCCAUCUAGUCCUGGGGGAGGGGACAAGUGCGGAACCAAUAGCUGCUCCCCAAACACGUGGGAGGAGGGGCUGGCCUGAAGACACCUUCCGAGAGCACCUUUAUUAGCUGCUCACUUUUCUCACCUUCUUAUCUUCCAGAGACUGGAAACACAGCACAUGGAGGGAGAGGCUAGCUCCAUCCAAGAGUACAAAUUAGAAGGCGGAGGAAGGAUGCCAUAGCUUUCUGAGGCUUCCCCUGCCUUCAAAGCCCUUGCCCAAGACCAUCUGAGACCCCCCCAGCUCCAGACCACUGCCUCACACUUUGUGCUACUUCAUCAGGCAUCCACAACCCCCCGGUGGGCUCCUGGAGGGCUCAGGAGUGGGGAACUACUUAGUACUAGUAUUGACAUUGCUGUUGCUGUGAACAGGUGCGUCAUAAAAAGGAGAUGCAGUAUUACGGCCAUGCAUGACUCCCCAGCGUGCUGCAUUUCAGCAGAACUGUCAUUUGAGUGACUGCAGAACGUGACUUUAUGUUGUUUCAUGUUUUGAUUCCUUCUUCAAACCACUGGGCUCAGGGAGUCACAGGAAACCUUCAAGGGUGGGAAGGUUUGCAGGAGGACACUGCUCUUCACAGAAAUCUUCAGAGAGAAUUGUUCAGUGCCCCACAAAGAGCCUGGGCUUGCCUGGGAGCCCUAGUUCCUGAGAACAGUGAGCUGCUGCCAGAGAGACACAGGAACCAGGGUCUUCCCUCAAGCCAGGAUGCGAAGCCGCCAAAGGAAGCAGAGACCUCCCAGAGGGAGAGACAAGGAGCCUCAGGGAGCACAGAGCAUUCACACACACAAGGGCCAUCUGUCCAGCUCUGAGUGUCUCCUAACACAGAGCAUCCUGGGGAAUUCACUAAAAUUAAGAGUCUUCUGAGGAAUGCAAAACAUUCCUGGGGUCAGGGGCAGACUGGCCUCUAGCCUGUGGCCUUGACAUGGGAGUCUUGCUACUAAAAGAAAUAAAAGAUGCCUCAGUUGAGUUGA